UUCGGUGGUCAUAGCGUGAGGGAAACGCCCGGUUACAUUCCGAACCCGGAUGCUAAGCCUUACAGCGCCGAUGGUACUGCAGGGGGGACCCUGUGGGAGAGUAGGACACCGCCGAAC
rnacentral:rRNA from 1 species